rnacentral:misc_RNA from 1 species
AAUUUUGCAACCAUGUGGACAUAGCACUUGAAAAACAAGUCAAAUUGGUGGCUUGUCAGCUGAAAAGUGAUGCUUCUGCUUGGUGGGAACGGCUACAAUCUAGAAGGAAGCGAUAAGAGAAAAGGCCAGCUCAUACGUGGUACAUAAUGAAAUAUUUGCUACAACAAGAAUUUUUGCCUUCAAAUUAUGAGCAAAUUUUACUCCAACAAAACCAAUGUUGUCAACAGGAGGUCCAGCCAAAGCCCUUAGUUGAAAAACGAAAAAGUUACGAACAAAAGGAGCUUCGAGAUUCAACAACGCAACUUAAAGUGGAGGGGCUAAGUGAAGAAUCUGAAUUAGAAACUUGAAUCAAAUUUCCUUUAUGGUUG